rnacentral:rRNA from 1 species
UACGUAGGGUGCGGGCGUUAAUCGGAAUUACUGGGCGUAAAGCGUGCGCAGGCGGUCUGUUAAGACCGAUGUGAAAUCCCCGGGCUUAACCUGGGAACUGCAUUGGUGACUGGCAGGCUUUGAGUGUGGCAGAGGGAGGUAGAAUUCCACGUGUAGCAGUGAAAUGCGUAGAGAUGUGGAGGAAUACCGAUGGCGAAGGCAGCCUCCUGGGCCAACACUGACGCUCAUGCACGAAAGCGUGGGGAGCAAACAGG